AGCGAACGCUGGCGGCAGGCCUAACACAUGCAAGUCGAACGAACUCUUCGGAGUUAGUGGCGGACGGGUGAGUAACACGCGGGAACGUGCCUUUAGGUUCGGAAUAACUCAGGGAAACUUGUGCUAAUACCGAAUGUGCCCUUCGGGGGAAAGAUUUAUCGCCUUUAGAGCGGCCCGCGUCUGAUUAGCUAGUUGGUGAGGUAAAGGCUCACCAAGGCGACGAUCAGUAGCUGGUCUGAGAGGAUGAUCAGCCACAUUGGGACUGAGACACGGCCCAAACUCCUACGGAAGGCAGCAGUGGGGAAUCUUGCGCAAUGGGCGAAAGCCUGACGCAGCCAUGCCGCGUGAAUGAUGAAGGUCUUAGGAUUGUAAAAUUCUUUCACCGGGGACGAUAAUGACGGUACCCGGAGAAGAAGCCCCGGCUAACUUCGUG
rnacentral:rRNA from 1 species